CAGUAGCCGCGGUAAUACGAGGGGGGCAAGCGUUGUUCGGAAUUAUUGGGCGUAAAGGGUGCGUAGGCGGUUUCGUAAGUCUGAUGUGAAAUCUAUGGGCUCAACCCAUAGUCUGCAUCGGAAACUGCGAGGCUUGAGAAUGGGAGAGGUGAGUGGAAUUUCCGGUGUAGCGGUGAAAUGCGUAGAUAUCGGAAGGAACACCUGUGGCGAAAGCGGCUCACUGGACUAUUUCUGACGCUGAUGCACGAAAGCUAGGGGAGCAAACAGGAUUAGAUACCCGAGUAGUCCCUGUCUCUUAUAC
rnacentral:rRNA from 1 species